AGCAGCUCAUCCUUCCAUCUUCUCAUGCUCUCUCUGUUAUUUCUUUGCCACAGGAUCUGGGAAUCUCAUCGCUGCUCUCUUUGUUUGGGCCCAGAGGUUCCUCUUCUGCUGCACUUGUACUGUUGAGUGAGCACAUAUACUCUUAGGGGUGACACAAAUUAAUUCCACUCCCAUCAUAGAAUCUCUCCAUGGAUUUAUCACAAAUUGCUGCAGCUGUGAGUGCUUCCAUGCUCUCAUGAAAAGUAUGAUUAAAUUCUGUCACUACUGUACUGUUUUUAAUAAAUUUAACCUCCAAACUAAUAAUUUCUCAGUGUCAGUUUCUCUCUGGUCAGUAGAUAAAUUAGUUAAUGACAAAUUAAUUAGUUAAUGCAGUCAAUCUUUAAAAGCUCCAUAAAAAAGAUAAGAAUGACUGGUGCAGAUUCUGUAAAUGUUUCAGAAAUAGGGGCUCAUGUCUUUACCAGGAAAAAAAAAAGUUGCAUUUUUGCAUUAGUUUCUUGACUAUUACUGUUGAAUUAAUUAUGGAACAUGCUCACCUACAAAGCAAGAGUGGAAGCUGAAAUACUGUAGUGCCAACAGCUAGAUCCUGAAGCAAUGUUUUUGUAAUAAUUUGGAGAAUAACAAAACCAAACAGGAAUAACUGACAGAGCUGAAAAGAAUUGAAAUGUGCUGUGUGCUGAGGAAUGGGCAUUCUUUUUUUUUUUUUUUUUUUUCCCUUGCGACAGGAAUUAAGGUAUCUCAAAAAUAAACAUAAAUUUUUGGAGCUUUCUGAAAGGCUCUGAAGUCUUUAACAUUAUCUCAUUGCUCAGUUUAAUCUGAACAGUGUCUUUAUGUGGUGAAUAACUGGGCAAUGAAUGCAGUAAGCAGAGGAUUGUUGCACUUGUUUACUGUUUCCAUGUAGAAUGUUCAUGCAUUUGGGUUUCCUAGGAGGAUAAGCAUUGCCAGGAAGGCUUAAACAGGCAGCAGAGCAGUGACCCUUGAAGUGUCCUAUGACCUGAGUGGGCAAUGUCUUCUCCUCAUCUUCAGGUCCUGGCCUUCAGCUUUGCUGAAAGUGGGAAGCUGGAGUUCGUUAGAGUGUGAGACACUGAAAAAGAGAGAGGGCAGUGCUGGGGUGCAGCCAGAUACCACAGUUCCAUUUAGCAGUAUCUGUUCUGAAGAAAGGUGGAACCCUGGUUUCUCAUAUAUCAGUCUGGCUGUUUCUGCCUUCUCUAGGGGCUGGCACUUACUGGUUGUUAAUAACACAAACAAGUUGGAUUUCUGGAUACUUCCAAAGAAGACGUGAUUGAGUCUGAGUAUCUCUGCUGAUUACAGUGACUACUGAACUGAACUUGGGAAAUGUUUGCCUGCAAUAUUUUCCACUAAAUGAGUCAGUGUAAUAGUUGGAAAAAUUGCAUGUUGCUGUACCAAAAUUAAUUUAAAAUCUCAUUCAUUAUUUGAACUAGUCUGACAGUCAAAUAAAUGUACACCUUGCCCUCUGUAUUUUGUGAAU
rnacentral:lncRNA from 1 species